rnacentral:rRNA from 1 species
ACGCUAGCUACAGGCUUAACACAUGCAAGUCGAGGGGAAACGGCAUUAAGUGCUUGCACUUUCUGGACGUCGACCGGCGCACGGGUGAGUAACGCGUAUCCAACCUUCCCAUGACUAAGGGAUAACCUGCCGAAAGGCAGACUAAUACCUUAUGGUCUUCACUGACGGCAUCAGAUGUGAAGUAAAGAUUUAUCGGUUAUGGAUGGGGAUGCGUCUGAUUAGUUAGUUGGCGGGGUAACGGCCCACCAAGGCAACGAUCAGUAGGGGUUCUGAGAGGAAGGUCCCCCACAUUGGAACUGAGACACGGUCCAAACUCCUACGGGAGGCAGCAGUGAGGAAUAUUGGUCAAUGGGCGAGAGCCUGAACCAGCCAAGUAGCGUGCAGGACGACGGCCCUAUGGGUUGUAAACUGCUUUUGUAUGGGGAUAAAGUCAAUCACGUGUGAUUGUUUGCAGGUACCAUACGAAUAAGGACCGGCUAAUUCCGUGCCAGCAGCCGCGGUAAUACGGAAGGUCCGGGCGUUAUCCGGAUUUAUUGGGUUUAAAGGGAGCGUAGGCUGGAGAUUAAGUGUGUUGUGAAAUGUAGACGCUCAACGUCUGACUUGCAGCGCAUACUGGUUUCCUUGAGUACGCACAACGUUGGCGGAAUUCGUCGUGUAGCGGUGAAAUGCUUAGAUAUGACGAAGAACUCCGAUUGCGAAGGCAGCUGACGGGAGCGCAACUGACGCUGAAGCUCGAAGGUGCGGGUAUCGAACAGGAUUAGAUACCCUGGUAGUCCGCACAGUAAACGAUGGAUGCCCGCUGUUGGUACGUGGUAUCAGCGGCUAAGCGAAAGCAUUAAGCAUCCCACCUGGGGAGUACGCCGGCAACGGUGAAACUCAAAGGAAUUGACGGGGGCCCGCACAAGCGGAG